rnacentral:rRNA from 1 species
CGGAACCUUACUCUGCUAAAUAGGCAGGUCAACUUUUUAGUUGAUAAUUUAUUUNUAAAUCUGGCUUCUUAGAGAGACUAUCGGCUUCAAGCCGAUGGAAGUUUGAGGCAAUAACAGGUCUGUGAUGCCCUUAGAUGUUCUGGGCCGCACGCGCGCUACACUGACAGAGCCAACGAGUUCAUCACCUUGACCGAAAGGUCUGGGUAAUCUUGUUAAACUCUGUCGUGCUGGGGAUAGGGCAUUGCAAUC